UAGCCGAAGUCAAGUCAACUGGCUUCAGUACUUCAGAGAAUCUUUUUCAGAAAAUAACUUAGUAUACAGUUACCGAAUAUUUGUGACUAUUUUCGGACAUUUGUCACUCUAUGUGAUGAUACAUACUGGUUGAACAUACAUCGCCCUUAUA